CCGUCGACUCUGUCCUGGGAAUCUGAGCGUCAAGUACCGGGGUCCACGCACUGGGAACAGUUGGAGCUGACGGUCUCACAGUGCGCUGUGCGGGGACGUCGCCCACACGCACACGCAGAUGGCAAGCUGAUCUCCCAAGUCGCGUGUGUUUGUUGUGCAGCCAUAUUGCUUGAUCGUUAAAUGAGAAAUUCCUAUCGAGAUUUUGGAGUGUGACCCUGUGUGUUUCCGAUGGGAAGAGAACACGAUAAAUAUGCAGGGAGUACAAUUAACCAGACAGUAAUAGGUAAGUUCUGGUUUCAUGCAAAAUCGAUGGGGAGAUCACAAGUAG